GGGCCGUUAACUCAGCUGGCAGAGUAACAGAUUUUUAAUCUGGAGGUCAUUGGUUCGAUUCCAAUACGGCCCACCA
rnacentral:tRNA from 1 species